GAUGAAGAACGUAGUGAAAUGCGAUACUUGGUGUGAAUUGCAGAAUCCCGUGAACCAUCGAGUCUUUGAACGCAAGUUGCGCCUCAAGCCAUUAGGUUGAGGGCACGUCUGCCUGCGCGUCACAUAUCGUUGCCUGAUGCCAGUUUCCUCGUGAUGGGUGACUGUGCAGGGCGAAUGAUGGCUUCCCGUGAGCAUUGCUGCCUCAUGGUUGGUUGAAAAUUGAGUCCUUGGUAGGGAGCGCCGUGAUAGAUGGUGGUUGAGUGACGAACGAGACCCAAUCAUGUGAGACCCCUACCGAAUUUGGCCUUCAUGACCCACAUGCGUCUUUGGAACGCUCAUGACGAGACCUCAGGUCAGGCGGGGCUACCCGCUGAGUUUAAGCAUAUCAAUAAGCGGAGGA
rnacentral:misc_RNA from 1 species